CGCUGCUAAGCUAUCGCUGCCAACCUAUCUAUCGCUGCCAACCUAUCUAUCGCUGCCAAUUUAUCUACCACUGCCAAUCUAUCUAUUGCUGCUAAUCUAUCACUGCUGUCAAUCUAUCUAUCACUGCUAAUCUAUCUAUCGCUGCUAAUCUAUCGCCGCUGCCAAUCUAUCCCUCACUGCUAAGCUAUCCCUCACUGCUAAGCUAUCACUGCCAAUCUAUCGCUGCUAAUCUAUCGCUGCCAACCUAUCUACCGCGGCGAAUCUAUCUAUCGCUGCCAAUUUAUCUACCACUGCCAAUCUAUCUAUCGCUGCCAAUCUAUUGCUGCUAAUCUAUCGCUGCUAAUCUAUCGCUGCUGCCAAUCUAUCUAUCACUGCUAAUCUAUCGCCGCUGCCAAUCUAUCCCUCGCUGCUAAGCUAUCCUUCGCUGCUAAGCUAUCCCUCACUGCUAAGCUAUCUCUCACUGCUAAGCUAUCCCUCGCUGCUAAGCUAUCCCUCACUACUAAGCUAUCUAUCACUGCUAAUCUAUCGCUGCCAACCUAUCUAUCACUGCCAAUCUAUCUAUCGCUGCUAAUCUAUCGCUGCUAAUCUAUCACUGCUAAUCUAUCGCUGCCAACCUAUCUAUCACUGCCAAUUUAUCUACCACUGCCAAUCUAUCUAUUGCUGCUAAUCUAUUGCUGCUGCCAAUCUAUCUAUCGCUGCUAAUCUAUUGCUGCUGCUAAUCUAUCUAUCGCUGCUAAUCUAUCGCUGCUAAUCUAUCGCUGCUAAUCUAUCACUGCUAAUCUAUCGCUGCUAAUCUAUCACUGCUAAUCUAUCGCUGCCAACCUAUCUACCGCGGUGAAUCUAUCUAUCACUAUCAUUACUAGUUCAAAAUAGAACUAGAGCAUAAACACACUAAACUUCUUUUGAUAGGUAAUGAUUUUUGGUAACACUCAUAGCAUUAUAUCAUCUAUAUAGGGUAAAUCAUGGUCCCAUUUGGUCCCAUUUUAACAAAAUGGGACCAAAUGAGACCAGAAUCAGUAAUUUAUAAGAAGAACAUGACCUGAGACUAGAUUUAUAAUAUAAACAGUGUAAAGUGACUAAUUUAAUAAACACUAUAUGGGACCAGAACUAAGAAAUUUGAUAAUGGA
rnacentral:sRNA from 1 species